rnacentral:lncRNA from 1 species
UGAACUUUCUCCCUGGUGUUGAAAUGUGGAAAGAGUAACAGCAUCCAAACAUAUCCUUAUCGUUUUUUUAUUCCACACAAAAGCACUUUCACAUCCAUUAUCUUACAUGACCUUCAUUUUAUUCUCUAAGGCUGGGAAGGAAAAAGAAUAUUUACCAAUAUUUCCAUUCGUAAAUCAAAGGUGAAGGGAAAUAUCCAAGUUCACACAGUAUUAAAUCUCUGCACUCUACAUUCCUCUUUUAAAGGGAAGUAGUAGGUCAGUAGAGCAGAGAUUCCCAUCUGAAGUGCAGAGAUAUUUAUCCUCUCAUCCUUCAGUGGGGUAGGGUCAUACAUUUAGAAUAUUAUGUUUGGGAAAGGAUGGAGAAAAAUAUUUAAUUUUGUCAUCUAAAUCACUCUUACAAUUUUGAUAAUUACAAAACCAGGAAUAAUGUUUUCUGAAAUAAUUAAAAAUCAUUUGUGAUGGUUAAUUUUAUGUGUCAACUUGACUAAAAGAUGCCCCUAUACAUGGUUAAACAUUUUUAGAUGUGUAUGUGAGGGUAUUUCCUGAAGAUUAGCAUUUGAAUUGAUGAACUAAAUGAAGCAGAUGGCUCUCUUCAAUGUGGGUGGGCUUAUCCAAUCUGUUGAGGAUCUGAAUAGAACAAAAAGGUGAAGGAAGGUUGAAUUUACUCUUCCUGACUGCUUAAGAUGGGACAUAGAUCUACCACUC